rnacentral:rRNA from 1 species
GAUGAACGCUGGCUACAGGCUUAACACAUGCAAGUCGAGGGGAAACGCCGGGGAAGCUUGCUUCCCCGGGCGUCGACCGGCGCACGGGUGAGUAACGCGUAUCCAACCUGCCUCUGACUGAGGGAUAACCCGUCGAAAGUCGGCCUAAUACCUCAUGGCAUCGUCUGCGGGCAUCCAACGACGAUUAAAGAUUUCAUCGGUCAGAGAUGGGGAUGCGUCUGAUUAGCUUGUUGGCGGGGUAACGGCCCACCAAGGCGACGAUCAGUAGGGGUUCUGAGAGGAAGGUCCCCCACAUUGGAACUGAGACCCGGUCCAAACUCCUACGGGAGGCAGCAGUGAGGAAUAUUGGUCAAUGGGCGAGAGCCUGAACCAGCCAAGUAGCGUGCAGGAUGACGGCCCUAUGGGUUGUAAACUGCUUUUAUGCGGGGAUAAAGUGAGGGACGUGUCCUUCAUUGCAGGUACCGCAUGAAUAAGGACCGGCUAAUUCCGUG